AGGCAUUCUGAAGACCUGCUGUCUAGGCUACAAGCUGAGAACCUAGUUUCUCUCGAUUCAUUUCGCCUAGGGGAAAGUCCCCGGACCCGUGGCAGAGAGUGCCGUGCGCAAAGCGUACCUCCAGUCUGCGUGCUCAGAAUACAACCGGCUAAGAAGUCGAGCGUGACCGAGCCGCUGAGAACAGACGGGAAGCUGUCAAUUCCUGUAGUAACGCAGGUGAUGUAAUGAAAGUUACAUCAACUUAACGGGGCUCACUAGCAGAAUGUC
rnacentral:RNase_MRP_RNA from 1 species